rnacentral:rRNA from 1 species
GAUGAACGCUAGCGGCAGGCCUAACACAUGCAAGCGGAGGGGCAGCAGUGGCGUAGCGAUACGCUGAUGGCGACCGGCGCACGGGUGCGUAACGCGUAUGCAACCUGGUCCGGCGCGAGGGGGGUACGCCCGUCGAAAGGCGGGGUAAUCCCGCAUGAACCGGUAUUCCCGCAUGGGGGUGCCGGCAAAGUGGAGACGCGGGGCCGGAGGGGCAUGCGUGCCAUUAGCUGGCUGGAGGGGUAACGGCCCACCAGGGCGAUGAUGGCUAGGGGGUCUGAGAGGAUGGUCCCCCACACUGGUACUGAGACACGGACCAGACUCCUACGGGAGGCAGCAGUGAGGAAUAUUGGUCAAUGGGCGGAAGCCUGAACCAGCCAUGCCGCGUGCAGGAAGGAGGCCCUACGGGUUGUAAACUGCUUUUAUAUGGGAGCAAUAAGGUUUACGCGUAGACCGAUGAGAGUACCAUAUGAAUAAGCAUCGGCUAACUCCGUG